AAAGAUACAGGUGGUUUUCAACAUAUUUUCCUCACUCACUUUACUGAUUGUUCCAAGACAAUCUGAGCAAAGGAAGGAUCUUUGUUUUUCAAAUCAAAAUUUGAGCAUAACCCAUUGUUCAUAUCUGGUAAAGGAUUUCUCAUUUGCAAAGGGUACGGGAGGAGCUUGCAGCAGUAAGCUAGGCAGAGCUUAUAGCAGGCCUUGAAAGCAUAGAAAAUGUCGCGGUGUGAGAAAUCUGUAGCCUCAAGCUUCGUACGUAAGAAAAAGGAUCUAAGUCAGAAAACGCUGGAAAAAUAGUAGAAACGAUUGUCGAUGCAGUUAAGGACAAGAAGAAUUCGAGCGCUGCUGCUGACUUGAUGGAAUUCAUGAAGGUAAUGGGUGAUAAAAGAAACUUUAAGGGAACGGAGGAGCCCACUGAAGCAGAGAAGUGGUUGAUGGGCUUCGAGAAAGUGUUUGAUGUAUUGCGAACUCUGGACGAGAAUAAGGUUCGACUUGCGACUUACUUUUUUGAGGGAGAUGUCGAUCAUUGGUGGACAACUAUGAAGCGUGUUCAUGAUGUGGACAACAUGUGUUGGGAACUGUUCGUAAAGCUAUUUUUCAGUAAGUAUUUUCCGCGAACAGCCAAGGCACUGAAGUGUGCUGAAUUUGCCACCUUGAAGCAAGGUAACAUGACGGUUACUCAGUUGGACAAGAGGUUUAGUGAACUCGAACGUUAAGGAGAUCAUCUUAUCCAAAGUGAAGAAUUAAGGGCUCGCAAAUUAGAGGAUGCACUGAAGCCAGGAAUCCGUGCCCAAAUUGUUCCACUACAGCUUCCAACUUACAAUAGAGUUUUGGAUAUUGCACUAGCGAUUGAAGCCAAUUCAAUUAAAGCACAAAAGGAAAGGGAGGAAAGUGAUCUGAAAAGGAAGCACGAAAACGACUCAUCACCUCACAAAAAACGUCCUCGUGUUUCUCAUACUGAACUGAUCAACAAUAAGAACAAAGGCAAGAUCAGUUGUUGCCGAGUAGAGGAGACCACUUCGUCAAAUAUUGUCCUGUUCCAGCACCAGAUGUACCAAUGAAGCCAGAAAAUGCUAAUCCACCUCAACAACCGAAUGCACAGAAACAAAAUCUCUAUGUUAGACAGCCUUAUCAACCUCACAACAAUGCACUGUUCCAGCCAAGGCAACAAAAUGUCCAAGGGAAGCUAGAUAACAUUACUGAGGUUAAAGGGGAACCUGAAAAUGCCGUAAUUGAGGAGUACGAGAGGAGCUUGCAGCAGUAAGCUGGGCAGAGCUUACGGCAGGUUUUGAAAGCAUAGAAAGUUAGUAUUUUGUCUUGUUUAAUAUGUAUAUCACGGGGAUGGAUCUGGGGUAGUUCUAAUAUCGGCUUUCGACCCAUGUUUUUGUCUUAUUUUGUUAUGUACAUAAGGGAAAUGCUAAGCUUUUAUUUUGAUGUACAAUAGCCGCCUCCCUGAAUUUGGGUAUAGAUAUAUGCAUUUCUAGCUGUUUAAACUUUUAGUCACGUAUUAUGUAAAUUUUCAGUGGCUUUACGUACAUUAUUGAUGUUUGGAAAUGUUGAUCACUCAAUCACUGUACAUGGUUGGACAGUGUUGAUCUCUGGAUGUUGUAGAAUGUUUUGGAAA